rnacentral:rRNA from 1 species
AUAGAGACUCAGAGCUGCAUAUCAAUAAGCGGAGGAAAAGAAACUAACAAGGAUUCCCCUAGUAACGGCGAGUGAGGCGGGAAGAGCUCAAAUUUGAAAUCUUCAAGGUUCUACCUUGACGAAUUGUAGUUUAAAGAAGUGUUUUCUGUUGGAGCUUUGGUAAAAGUUCUUUGGAAUAGGACAUCAUAGAGGGUGAGAAUCCCGUAUUUGACCAUUAUUUUCAGCUGUGUGAUACACUUUCAAAGAGUCGGAUUGUUUGGGAAUGCAGUCCAAAAUGGGUGGUAAAUUUCAUCUAAAGCUAAAUAUUGGCGAGAGACCGAUAGCGAACAAGUACCGUGAGGGAAAGAUGAAAAGAACUUUGAAAAGAGAGUUAAACAGUACGUGAAAUUGUCAAAAGGGAAGCGUUUGACACCAGUGUUGUUUUUCCGAAAAUCAAUUAUAGAUGUUUUGUUUCUGAGGAGUGAUGACUUCAUCGGCUUCCUUCUCUCUUUACGAAACUUUUGUAAUGCACUUUUCGGUUAACAAGUCAACAUCAAUUUCUUUUGUUGUAAAAGAGUCAUUGGAAGGUGGCUUUCAUUUCGGUGAAAGUGUUUAUAGCCUUUGGCUUCUACAAUCGGAGAGAUUGAGGUCUGCAGCGUAGAUCCUUCGGGGUUAGAUACAUUUGUGCUAAGUUAUAGCCUUUCAUAGACAACUUGUUGACCUAUGAUUCAGUCAUUGUAGCUUACUCGCCUAUGCUAUUUUACCUACGCUUAGGAUGUUGAAGUCAUCGUAUCGCGC